GACGAACGCUGGCGGCGUGCCUAACACAUGCAAGUCGAACGGAGUUGCCCUUCGGGACAACUUAGUGGCGAACGGGUGAGUAACGCGUGAGAAACCUGCCUUUCAGUGGGGGACAACAGUUGGAAACGACUGCUAAUACCGCAUAACAUAUUCGGGGGGCAUCCCCUGAAUAUCAAAGCUUAAUGUGCUGAAAGAUGGUCUCGCGUCUGAUUAGCUAGAUGGCGGGGUAACGGCCCACCAUGGCGACGAUCAGUAGCCGGUCUGAGAGGAUGAACGGCCACAUUGGGACUGAGAUACGGCCCAGACUCCUACGGGAGGCAGCAGUGGGGAAUAUUGGGCAAUGGGGGGAAACCCUGACCCAGCAACGCCGCGUGAAGGAAGAAGG
rnacentral:rRNA from 1 species